UAUGAGGUAGAGAAGCACAGUGGAACUGAUGGGCACAGAUCUCUGAACUCUCAGCCUGUAGCAAAGAUGGUAAUAAAUCUGAGGGACUUUUACAUGAACACAUUAAUUUACAGAUCAUUGGGAGUGGUCUGGUAUUUUGCUGUGGUCUUCCUUGCCCUGGGGACUGAAGUCCCAUUUGAUGUCACUGUUUGGUUAUAUGUUUACAAUAGACUCCCUUCGAGGAUUGGUUUUCUUACCUUUGCGCAGAAAGUCCUUUUUAAAAAUUUCUUAUGUGACGAUCGGUCAGUUAUUUUUGACUUCCAAAUUGCCAGCGGUUUAGACCAACUGUUUGAUUCAGACGGACCCCAAAAUUGGGUACGUUAAAGGAAAAACAGCUGGGCUGUUGGAAGAAGCGAGAACUAGCAAAGUCUUUGACUGAACUUUAGGGUGAGAACUGCCUGGGACGAAGAAAGCACAAUGGAAGAUGGCUGAAAGCCGCAAAAGACUACUGAGCACCCUGGAUCUGGGUAUCUUUGGACGAGUUCUUUUGAAUUGAUGGAUGUGUGAAACUGCUAAUAUGUAAACCACAAUCUGAUGGAUUUAGUGUGUAAGAGAAACAUGAGGACAGGUUAAAACAGGAGGUAAUCUUCUUGAAGAUGUAAAACUGCAGCACAACAGCAGUAAUGGGACAACCUAUUGCAGAAAGAUGUCGGCUGUGUCAAGGUGAGACAUAAUGAUGAAUGGCCUGAACUUCAGCUUGCAGGAGUUGCUAAGAAAAAUUGAACAGAACCUACCCUGGAAGAGAGAGCCCAGAGAAUUGCCAAAGCUGUCCGCAAACAGUCAAUAGAAGUGAAGGAAAAUUGGGAGCAAUUGAAAACCCGUGCGAGCAACUGGCAGAAACAGGUGGAAAAGGCGUUGGAGAAACUUCAACAACUGCAGAAAGCUCUGGAUGAUCUUGAGGCUCAUGUGAUAACAGCUGAGGGGGUCCACACUGAUCAGCAACCUGUGGGUGACCUGCUUAUUGACUCAUUGCAGGGUCACAUUGAUAAAACCACAUGGAUCUGUUGGAGUUGCACACAGCACAACGCGUCUUGGAUCAACACAAAUUGACACAAAACGAGCAACGUCGAAAUGUGACUGAAGUAAUCAACUGUUUGACGACCAUUUAUGAUGGUUUGGAACAAAAUCACUUGGUCAAUGUGUCACUCUGUGUCAACAUGUGUCUGAACUGGCUGCUGAGCGUCUUUGAUACGUAUCUAUGAUUUACACUUUAAUGUAGUAUGUUUAGAUUGUCCUAAGGUGCAUGAAACUGCAUGCGACGUAUUGGAUUUUGAUAUGUACAUGAUCAGUUAAGUAAAUGUGAA